UGGAAAUCUUUCCCAUACCAGGCACACAAGGAAAUCAUCAAGAAGAGACAAAAAAAGAUAAGCUGAGGAAGAAACAAGGCUUGCCGGUUUGAAAUGAAAGCUGCCCCUGUUGCGUGGCUCGAAGUCCUUUGUUCAGGAAAAAGCGUAAGAAAAAAAGAGUCAACAAUAUAGGAUAAACUGGACUGUGAUCUGCACUGUCAUCUCUGGAGAGCACUUCGCAUAGAGGAAAUGAUCCAAAAGAUGUCAAAUAAUCUGAUUUUUUUCACAGCCCUCGGUGAUCUUUAGAUAAGACCUCAAUGUUAUGCAAACUGCUUUCCCUGAUGUCAUAAGGAUUUUAAGUAGUAAGACUCCAGAUAGAAAUCCCUUUGAAAUUACCAUCAAACCUGUCACUUACUUCUGGGAAAAAAUCUGAAACCUGAAAUGACGAUGGUAUAUGAAAAAAAAAAUAAAAAGGAGGGUUACAUA